rnacentral:rRNA from 1 species
UGAACGCUGGCGGUAUGCCUAACACAUGCAAGUCGUACGAGAGUUUUUAACUCUAGUGGCGGACGGGUGAGUAACACGUGAGAACCUACCCUAAGGAGGGGAAUAACAGCUGGAAACGGUUGCUAAUACCCCAUAUGCCGAUAGGUGAAAGGAUGUAUCCACCUUAGGAAGGGCUCGCGCCUGAUUAGCUAGUUGGUGAGGUAAUAGCUCACCAAGGCCAUGAUCAGUAGCUGGUUUGAGAGGACGAUCAGCCACACUGGGACUGAGACACGGCCCAGACUCCUACGGGAGGCAGCAGUGGGGAAUUUUCCGCAAUGGGCGAAAGCCUGACGGAGCAAUACCGCGUGAGGGAUGACGGCCUGUGGGUUGUAAACCUCUUUUCUCAAGGAAGAAGUUCUGACGGUACUUGAGGAAUAAGCAUCGGCUAACUCUGUGCCAGCAG